AGAGUUUGAUCAUGGCUCAGAUUGAACGCUGGCGGCAGGCCUAACACAUGCAAGUCGAGCGGUAGCACAGAGAGCUUGCUCUCGGGUGACGAGCGGCGGACGGGUGAGUAAUGUCUGGGAAACUGCCUGAUGGAGGGGGAUAACUACUGGAAACGGUAGCUAAUACCGCAUAAUGUCGCAAGACCAAAGUGGGGGACCUUCGGGCCUCAUGCCAUCAGAUGUGCCCAGAUGGGAUUAGCUAGUAGGUGGGGUAACGGCUCACCUAGGCGACGAUCCCUAGCUGGUCUGAGAGGAUGACCAGCCACACUGGAACUGAGACACGGUCCAGACUCCUACGGGAGGCAGCAGUGGGGAAUAUUGCACAAUGGGCGCAAGCCUGAUGCAGCCAUGCCGCGUGUGUGAAGAAGGCCUUCGGGUUGUAAAGCACUUUCAGCGGGGAGGAAGGCGAUAAGGUUAAUAACCUUGUCGAUUGACGUUACCCGCAGAAGAAGCACCGGCUAACUCCGUGCCAGCAGCCGCGGUAAUACGGAGGGUGCAAGCGUUAAUCGGAAUUACUGGGCGUAAAGCGCACGCAGGCGGUCUGUCAAGUCGGAUGUGAAAUCCCCGGGCUUAACCUGGGAACUGCAUUCGAAACUGGCAGGCUAGAGUCUUGUAGAGGGGGGUAGAAUUCCAGGUGUAGCGGUGAAAUGCGUAGAGAUCUGGAGGAAUACCGGUGGCGAAGGCGGCCCCCUGGACAAAGACUGACGCUCAGGUGCGAAAGCGUGGGGAGCAAACAGGAUUAGAUACCCUGGUAGUCCACGCCGUAAACGAUGUCGAUUUGGAGGUUGUGCCCUUGAGGCGUGGCUUCCGGAGCUAACGCGUUAAAUCGACCGCCUGGGGAGUACGGCCGCAAGGUUAAAACUUAAAUGAAUUGACGGGGGCCCGCACAAGCGGUGGAGCAUGUGGUUUAAUUCGAUGCAACGCGAAGAACCUUACCUGGUCUUGACAUCCACAGAACUUUCCAGAGAUGGAUUGGUGCCUUCGGGAACUGUGAGACAGGUGCUGCAUGGCUGUCGUCAGCUCGUGUUGUGAAAUGUUGGGUUAAGUCCCGCAACGAGCGCAACCCUUAUCCUUUGUUGCCAGCGGUUAGGCCGGGAACUCAAAGGAGACUGCCAGUGAUAAACUGGAGGAAGGUGGGGAUGACGUCAAGUCAUCAUGGCCCUUACGACCAGGGCUACACACGUGCUACAAUGGCAUAUACAAAGAGAAGCGACCUCGCGAGAGCAAGCGGACCUCAUAAAGUAUGUCGUAGUCCGGAUUGGAGUCUGCAACUCGACUCCAUGAAGUCGGAAUCGCUAGUAAUCGUAGAUCAGAAUGCUACGGUGAAUACGUUCCCGGGCCUUGUACACACCGCCCGUCACACCAUGGGAGUGGGUUGCAAAAGAAGUAGGUAGCUUAACCUUCGGGAGGGCGCUUACCACUUUGUGAUUCAUGACUGGGGUGAAGUCGUAACAAGGUAACCGUAGGGGAACCUGCGGUUGGAUCACCU
rnacentral:rRNA from 1 species